AGAGAGAGAGAGAGAGAGAGAGAGAGAGAGAGAGUUAAGCUACAAUACAACAUUAUAUUCAACCUGGGAAAAGUUGGAAUUGUUCAACCAUCAAAAGAGGGAAACUCAAGUUGAAACCAGAAUUCUAAUGGAAAUGGGCACUUCCAAGUGAUUUUAUUAAUGGCCAUACUAUAGAGGAAACCAGCAUUGUCAAUUAAAUUCAGGGUCCAUGCUAAUUAUGCACCUCUCCUGGAGGAGAAGAGAACUUCAUUAAAAGUCUAGAUCAGAGCAUCAGAGUACAAAAUAUCCCCUAGCUAAGGUUUUUUCACUUAAUAUGAUGCAUUUGGAACUGGGUGUAUGGGGAAGCCUGAUGGCUGGGAUUAGCUUAUUGGAAUGAUUUCCAUUAGCACUAAAAAUAUCUGUAUCUCUACCAUAGUUGUUGAAUGAUUCAACAGCAGCUGAUUAGGAUUGAAUCCAUCUCACACAAGAAAUAGGAGGACUUAUGUAUCUAUUUAUUCUAAUUGCCGUAUUUGCUGAAUAUAAUGGUGACUUUAUGUCGGUUAUGGCAGAUGAUAUGGAACGGUUGUUGACGGUAAUAAAACUCAUAAAUUCUGUUUUAGAGUUUAUUUAAUAACUUUUACCUUGGCAUGCCUAUGAAGCACAAAGGUUUACAAUUGUCUUUGUUCUGUCAGUCAAACUAAUUGAAGUUACAAUAUGAUUGGAUCAUUUUUAUGAAAAAGGGUUAUGAUGAGGAGCCACCAUUAGACUUCAAAAUUGAUCAUGAAGGUGAUCCUGCCAUUGAUGGAUCUCUUUUCAGAUUAAGGUUGAAAGCUGCCUGAUGGAGGAUCCAUCUUCAAGCGCAGCAGCAAGAGUUACACUAUUGAUGGUGCUGAGGCGAAUGAAGAGGAAAUUAAGGCUGGACAAGAAAAGGCCAUGGAAGCCUUUGUAGGAAUAUUCAAGCUAUGAUAGAUUGAGGGCUCAAACGCCAACGCUCCAAUAAUAAAAAUUUAAAUUUUUAACACAAUGUUUUAUAUUUAAAUUGUGCUAAGAUCGAAAAUUUGAGAUUAUAGAAAAUACAGAGCUAUUCAAAAUUUGAUUUAC